rnacentral:rRNA from 1 species
CACGUAGGAGGCAAACGUUAUCCGGAUUUACUGGGCGUAAAGCGCGUGUAGGUGGUUCUGUAAGUAGGGCGUGAAAGCUCCCGGCUCAACUGGGAGAGGCCGUUCUAAACUGCAGAGCUAGAGGAUGGUAGAGGGAGGUGGAAUUCCGGGUGUAGCGGUGGAAUGCGCAGAUAUCCGGAGGAACACCAGUGGCGAAGGCGACCUCCUGGGCCACUCCUGACACUCAGACGCGAAAGCUAGGGUAGCAAACGGGAUUAGAAACCCUAGUAGUCC